GGGGAUUUGGCUCAGUGGUAGAGCGCUUGCCUAGCAAGCACAAGGCGCUGGGUUCGGUCCCCAGCUCCA
rfam:Rattus norvegicus chromosome 12, whole genome shotgun sequence.